AUUGAACGCUGGCGGCAGGCCUAACACAUGCAAGUCGAGCGGAUGAAGGGAGCUUUUUCCUGGAUUCAGCGGCGGACGGGUGAGUAAUGCCUAGGAAUCUCCCUGGCAGUGGGGGAUAACGUCCGGAAACGGGCGCUAAUACCGCAUACGUCAUGAGGGUGAAAGUGGGGGGUCUUUGGAACUAUCGCUAUCUGAUGAGUCUGGGUGGGAUUUGCUAGGUGGUGGGGUAAAGGCGUACCAAGGCGACGAUCCGUAACUGGUCUGAGAGGAUGAUCAGGCACACUGGAACUGAGACACGGUCCAGACUACUACGGGAGGCAGCAGUAGGGAAUAUUGGGCAAUGGGCGAAAGCCUGAUCCAGCCAUGCCGCGUGUGUGAAGAAGGUCUUCGGAUUGUAAAGCACUUUAAGUUGGGAAGAAGGGCAGUAAGUUUAAACCUUGCUGUUUUGACGUUACCAACAGAAUAAGCACCGGCUAACUACGUG
rnacentral:rRNA from 1 species